rnacentral:rRNA from 1 species
UACGGGAGUCAGGGCAUGAGUGACAAGGUUCAUGUCCGAGAGGGAAACAACCCAGAUCGACAGCUAAGGUCCCCAAGUUUAUACUAAGUGAAUAAGGAUGUCGGAUCGCUUAAACAACCAGGAUGUUGGCUUAGAAGCAGCCAUCAUUUAAAGAGUGCGUAAUAGCUCACUGGUCAAGCGUUCUUGCACCGAUAAUUUCCGGGACUAAGUAUAACACCGAAGCUUCGGAUGUACGACUAUGUCGUAUUAUGGUAGGGGAGCGUUCUGUAAGCCGUUGAAGGUGUGAGGUGAUUCACAUUGGAGGUAUCAGAAAUGAGGAUGCUGGCAUGAGUAACGAAAGUGGAGUUCAAGAAUCUCCACCACCGAAAAUCUAAGGAUUCCUGCGCAACGCUCAACGACGCAGGGUUAGUCGGCCCCUAAGGAAAGGCCGCGAGGCGUAUUUAAUGGGAAACAGGUUAAUAUUCCUGUACCGCCUUUAAGUUGUUAUACAAAGGAGGGACGCAGAAGUGAAAGUGGAGCUGGGUGCUGGAUAUCCCAGUUUAAGUGCUUAGUGAGUAAGGAUAGGCAAAUCCGUCUUUACAAUCAUGAAGUACGAGUACGAGCCUUAUGGCGAAGUCCACCUAAUCAUACUGCCAAGAAAAUCUUCGUUGUUAGACUUAUCGGCGACCGUACCGUAAACCGACACAGGUAGAUGGGAUGAGUAUUCUAAGGUGAUCGAGCGAACUGCAGUCAAGGAAUUCGGCAAAAUGACUCCGUAACUUCGGGAUAAGGAGUGCCUCCUCAGCAAUGAGAGGUCGCAGAGAAAUGGCCCAUGCGACUGUUUAUCAAAAACACAGGUCUAUGCUAACACGUAAGUGGAUGUAUAUGGACUGACACCUGCCCGGUGCUGGAAGGUUAAGAGGCGUUGUUAGGAUUUAUUCCGAGGCAACAAAUUGAAGCCCCAGUAAACGGCGGCCGUAACUAUAACGGUCCUAAGGUAGCGAAAUUCCUAGUCGGGUAAGUUCCGACCCGCACGAAAGGUGUAACGAUGUGGGCGCUGUCUCGACUGCAGGCUCGGUGAAAUUGAAAUCUCGGUGAAGAUGCCGGGUACCCGUGACAGGACGGAAAGACCCCGUGAACCUUUACUAUAGCUUGACAUUGUGUUUUGUUAUUACAUGUGUAGGAUAGGUGGGAGACAAUGAAAUGGGAACGCCAGUUUUCAUGGAGUCGCCCUUGAAAUACCACCCUUGUAUUAAUGGAAUCCUAACCGAGUUGAUUGAAUCAUCAACCGGGACAUUGUCUGGUGGGUAGUUUGACUGGGGCGGUCGCCUCCAAAAAAGUAACGGAGGCGCGCAAAGGUAACCUCAGCAUGGUCGGUAAUCAUGCGGUGAGUGUAAAGGCACAAGGUUGCUUAACUGUAAGACAUACAAGUCGAGCAGGUACGAAAGUAGGUCUUAGUGAUCCGGCGGUAGAGAAUGGAAUUGCCGUCGCUCAACGGAUAAAAGGUACUCCGGGGAUAACAGG